UACGUAGGGUGCGAGCGUUAAUCGGAAUUACUGGGCGUAAAGUGUGCGCAGGCGGCCGAGCAAGUCGAGUGUGAAAGCCCCGAGCUUAACUUGGGAAUUGCGCUCGAAACUACGGUGCUGGAGUGUGGCAGAGGGAGGUGGAAUUCCACGUGUAGCGGUGAAAUGCGUAGAGAUGUGGAGGAACACCGAUGGCGAAGGCAGCCUCCUGGGCCAACACUGACGCUGAGGAACGAAAGCCAGGGUAGCGAACGGG
rnacentral:rRNA from 1 species